GGAGAGGUGGCUGAGUGGUCGAAAGCGGCGGUCUCGAAAACCGUUGUACGUGUGAGCGUACCCUGGGUUCGAAUCCCAGCCUCUCCG
rnacentral:tRNA from 1 species